rnacentral:misc_RNA from 1 species
AACGCACAUUGCGCCCGCUAGUACUCUAGCGGGCAUGCCUGUCCGAGCGUCAUUUAGGCCACUCGAGCUCUCCUCUCUCCCUGGGGAGACGGGCUCGGUGUUGGGGCGCUACGAGCCGCGGAGCCGCGCGCCUCGUAGGCUCCUAAAGACAGCGGUGGCGCCGCCGAGACCCCGAGCGUAGUAGUGUACACGCCCACCAGCGUGCCUCGCUCAGGGCGUCCGGCGGUCGUGGCCAGCCGUGAAAACCCGCCGCGCACGCGGCUAUACCUCUGGGGUUGACCUCGGAUCAGGUAGGAAUACCCGCUGAACUUAA